GAUGAACGCUGGCGGCGUGCCUAAUACAUGCAAGUCGAGCGAACAGACGAGGAGCUUGCUCCUCUGACGUUAGCGGCGGACGGGUGAGUAACACGUGGAUACCCUACCUAUAAGACUGGGAUAACUUCGGGAAACCGGAGCUAAUACCGGAUAAUAUAUUGAACCGCAUGGUUCAAUAGUGAAAGACGGUUUUGCUGUCACUUAUAGAUGGAUCCGCGCCGCAUUAGCUAGUUGGUAAGGUAACGGCUUACCAAGGCUACGAUGCGUAGCCGACCUGAGAGGGUGAUCGGCCACACUGGAACGGAGACACGGUCCAGAGUCCUACGGGAGGCAGCAGUAGGGAAUCGUCCGCAAUGGGCGAAAGCCUGACGGAGCAACGCCGCGUGAGUGAUGAAGGUCUUCGGAUCGUAAAACUCUGUUAUUAGGGAAGAACAAAUGUGUAAGUAACUAUGCACGUCUUGACGGUACCUAAUCAGAAAGCCACGGCUAACUACGUG
rnacentral:rRNA from 1 species